AUGGACAGCACCACCGUCUUCUUCGUGUGGUGGUCCAAGGCCGUCGACGAAUCCCCGGGCUGUCUACAGAAGGGCCUUAACUCCAUUGUGGCGCUCACUGCUUGGUCCAUUUGGAAGAACCGCAACGCGGCCAUCUUCGAGAGCCGGCACCCCUCCACCGAAGACCUAGUACUCUAGAUCAAAGACGACGCCCGCCUUUGGGCUAAGGCAGGCGCUCGAGGGCUGGCCGCAAUUAUCCCUGUAACAUGA
rnacentral:rRNA from 1 species